rnacentral:rRNA from 1 species
AUUGAACGCUGGCGGCAUGCCUUACACAUGCAAGUCGAACGGCAGCGCGGACUUCGGUCUGGCGGCGAGUGGCGAACGGGUGAGUAAUACAUCGGAACGUACCCUGUUGUGGGGGAUAACUAGUCGAAAGAUUAGCUAAUACCGCAUACGACCUGAGGGUGAAAGUGGGGGACCGCAAGGCCUCACGCAGCAGGAGCGGCCGAUGUCUGAUUAGCUAGUUGGUGGGGUAAAGGCCCACCAAGGCGACGAUCAGUAGCUGGUCUGAGUGGACGAUCAGCGACACUGGGAGUGAGACACGGCCCAGACUCCUGCGGGAGGCAGCAGUGGGGAAUUUUGGACAAUGGGGGCAACCCUAAUCCAGCAAUGCCGCGUGUGUGAAGAAGGCCUUCGGGUUGUAAAGCACUUUUGUCCGGAAAGAAAUCGCGCUGGUUAAUACCUGGCGUGGAUGACGGUACCGGAAGAAUAAGCACCGGCUAACUACGUGCCAGCCGCCGCCGUAA